AUACUAUGACAGCUGCAUGGUUCAGCAAACUGAAUCAUGAAGAGAUCUACCAUAUAGCUGUGAAA
rnacentral:snoRNA from 1 species